UUCUGCCGGAGAAAGCGAUGUACGGAGUGUUCGAUAAUUGGAUGCGCGCAAAAAAAAAAAACAAUGAAACAAGACGCGUGAAAUUACAGAAAAUAACAAAGAUUCACGAAACGCUUUUAAUUUUGCCUUUAAAGAAGUCAAUAUGUUUCGUGGGAAUCUUUAAAUAUUGCAAAUCUAUGCAAAAAGGAGGGGCGAUAAAGAACAUACGAGUGUGUGAUAUAUCUCUGACGUGUGGGAAAACAAUUUACCUGGCCGGAGAGGGCGAAUGGCGUCCGACAAUUUGGCUAUAUCGGCCGCAUCGUAACGAACAAUUUCAGGGAUCUGCACGUAAGAGCCCAAAAAACAGGAAACCACGUUCUUAGCGUACCCCAGCUCCCGUUGCACGCGUGUUCUGCCGCCAUCCGGUGAAACCUCGCCCGGUAACGACUUCCGGAAUCGUAUUACCGUGUGCUCCUGGAAAGACGAAAAAACAAACUUGAUAAAGCCAAACAACGCCGACUGCAUAUUUCUCAACACGCUUUGUAUCUUCUGACAAACUUCCAAUGUGGUAAUAUUAUUAACUGUAAAUAUAUGGCGCAUGAUAUGUAUUGAACGAUAAUUCCUCAUGCUAUAAAUGCAGCUGCGUGCGGAAUUACAUUCCAUUUAUAGAGUCGUACAGGGAGGGUAAAUCGCGUGAGCGUAAAAAAAAAAGAUUCAAGGCGGACGCGCGUCGUAGCUAUUUCCCUGCCGUUGGCGGUCUCGGUCUGCCUGGCGAACAAACGACCCCACAUUUUCUAUGCGCCUGUAAGUAACGUACGUGUAGUAAGGUAGCUCGCAUUAUCAGGAACAGAUCAAUGCCUCCCAACCUGGCGACACCACGGUCGACGGUGUAUGUAGGUCGACUUUAUGAAAAAUUCGCGGAUCAAGAGACACGGUAGUGGCUCGCGCCAAGUGAAAGCGUAGCGUGAGCCCGACCGUGCUCUUUUACGCGAGUACGCGACUUGCGAGCAUCCGAGAUUAUCAGAUCUCAGAAACGGCUAAACCGAUCGAGUUCUAACUAGACUCAAUCGAAAGCUUAGGGUCGAUUUGUAUCAGAAAAGUGUUUUUAUUUUUCCUCUAUGUACUUUAUGAGAGGAGAUUAUCACGACGCAAAGUCCGAAAAGCCAAAAUUUCAUUUAAGAUACGUCGUCGUCAUUAUUAUCAUCGUCAACAUUGUGGGUAUCUUUGCGGGUAGUGCGGGUGCCGAAAAUGAGGGACGAAAUUCCAUCUCGCGCAUCUGCUACCAUGCGGCGUUCGCAUCGUCACUAUAGCACCAUGUAUGGCAAUAUUUUAUUUUUAUUUAUUUUUUAUAAGUCACGAUGAGAUGUUGCAUAAUGUAAAAUGUGUAUUAUUGCUGUAAUUGUCAACAAUGAUAAUGUCGUAAGGAUAAAGUAAAGAAUAAUAUUAUUAAAAAUAGUAUUAUUAAAUCAUUCAUUUGAAAUUUUAUUAAAUUUAAUUAGUAGUUAUUAAUAUUGAUUUUGAUUGAUUUGACAAUUACAGCAACAUUUAACCAAUACACAAUUCUUCUACAUGAUACAACAUCUCAUCUCUCAUUGACACUAAUAUAAAAUCAGAGAACUAUUUUAUUAAUUUUACAUUGUUUUAAUGUAAGUUGCUCGGAUCAGAAUUCAGCUUGUGUCAAGUGACAUGUGUAGUGGAGGUUAAAUCGUUUAUUUAUCGAAAUAGAUGAGAUGUUGCGUGAUGUAAAUUAUUGCUGUAAUUGUCAAUCAAUGAUAAUGUUGUAAGGAUAAGAAUUUUAAUAAACAUGUGGGUCGGCAGUAACUCGUUCACGCUACGCGCCAGCUUUCAUCAAGGGUGCGUUUUUAAAUUCGCAACGGAUGCACUGGAGUGUCAUCCUAUCUUUGUUCAACUUUCCGUAAGUAACAAAGAUGGAAUGACAUUCUGGUGUAUCUGGCAGCAUCCGUUGCGAAUUUAAGAACGCAUCCCAAAUGACGUGUAGUGUUAAUAAAAUAAUGUCAACUGUUUCAAAAUUGCUGUCUGUACUGAUACAUACAUUAUAGAUAGAUUUUCAGUACUGAGAGCAAUUUUGAAACAUAGUCUUUAUUGUGCUUUAAUUUAAUUUAUAAUCAUGUUAAUAGAUAAAAACUCGGGGUGACGGAGAGUAGGAGAGAGAGAGAAAGAGAAAGAGAGAGAGAGAGAGAGAGAGAGAGAGAGAAAGAGAAUUAUAUGUGUCUUUUCUGAACACAGCGCAUUAUCACCGAUAGCUCAGUGAACAGCAAUUCAUUAUUUAAUGAUUUUUCAGUGGAAACUCAGGAUGAGAGAGACAAAGAGCAGGAGAGAAAGAGAGAAGGAAUUAUAUAUGUGAUCUAAACCAGCGAAACAUGAAUGAUGACAGUAUAUUACCAUCGAUAGCUCAGUGGAGAUAUUAUUAUUUAAUGAUUCUUUAGGCAAGUCGCACAUUACGUAUCUGUAUCACAUUUUCAUGAAGUAAUUUAUAAUUAAAAAUGUAUCCUGCAAAUAUUUUAA